rnacentral:rRNA from 1 species
CCCUAUGGGGUGCAGCGUUCGAGGUAUCGUCGUGUGAGAACAACAAGCGGGUGCGGCGGUUGGAAAAGCCCCUGUUGGAUUCUCAGGCGGAAAAAAAGGCCGCGAUCUGAUCCGUCUCAGAUGGCGGCCCGACCAUCGGCAUAUCCUCCGGGAUCGUGAUCCCGGACCCGUUAUCGGCUAUUCGAUUGCGCUCAGUGUAAAGGAUUGGGUGGGGCGUGUCAACCCUUUCGGGCAUGUCCCAUCACGAGCCCCGCCCGUAGCGCUCAGUCCGUCCCCUUCAGGGUGUCGAGCAGAAAGGCGCGCAGCCGCCCGUAGUCGGCGGGCAGUUCGACGGCCUCGCCCGUCCGGUUUUCGAGCUCCGUCAUGCUCUGCGGCACCUCGGGGGUGAUCCCGAGCAGCUCGAUGAUCUCGUCGGGGAAUUGGCGGGAGAGC